CCUACGGGAGGCAGCAGUGAGGAAUAUUGGUCAAUGGGCGGAAGCCUGAACCAGCCAAGUAGCGUGCAGGAUGACGGCCCUACGGGUUGUAAACUGCUUUUAUACGGGAAUAACGCGCCUUACGUGUAGGGCUUUGCAUGUACCGUAUGAAUAAGGACCGGCUAAUUCCGUGCCAGCAGCCGCGGUAAUACGGAGGGUCCGGGCGUUAUCCGGAUUUAUUGGGGUUAACGGGAGCGUAGGCCGCAUGUCAAGCGUGCUGUGAAAUGUCCGGGCUCAACCCGGGCCUUGCAGCGCGAACUGGCGUGCUGGAGGGCGCGGGAGGCAGGCGGAAUUCGUGGUGUAGCGGUGAAAUGCUUAGAUAUGACGAGGAACCCCAGUGGCGAAGGCAGCUUGCUGCAGCAGAACUGACGCUGAUGCUCGAAAGCGCGGGUAUCGAACAGGAUUAGAUACCCCGGUAGUC
rnacentral:rRNA from 1 species